UGUGUGUGCAUAUCAGUGUAUAUGUGUGUGAGAGGCAGGGGGAGUGAGUGCGCAUAUCUGUGUGUGUGUGCGUAUGUGUGUGCGUGCAUGGGAGUGUGUGUGUGUGAGAGAGGCAGGGGAAGUGUGUG